rnacentral:rRNA from 1 species
UAUCUCUGUAGAGUCUGCAUAUCAAUAAGCGGAGGAAAAGAAACUAACUAGGAUUCCCUCAGUAACGGCGAGUGAAGCGGGAAGAGCUCAAAUUUGAAAUCUUCAAGGUUCUACCUUGACGAAUUGUAGUUUAAAGAAGUGUUUUCUGUUGGAGUUUUGGUAAAAGUUCUUUGGAAUAGGACAUCAUAGAGGGUGAGAAUCCCGUAUUUGACCAUUAUUUCCAGCUUUGUGAUACACUUUCAAAGAGUCGGAUUGUUUGGGAAUGCAGUCCAAAAUGGGUGGUAAAUUUCAUCUAAAGCUAAAUACUGGCGAGAGACCGAUAGCGAAUAAGUACCGUGAGGGAAAGAUGAAAAGAACUUUGAAAAGAGAGUUAAACAGUACGUGAAAUUGUCAAAAGGGAAGCGUUUGACACCAGUGUUGUUUUCUCGUAAAUCAAUUAAAAAAGGCAGGAUUUUGCUGUUGUAUUGACUUUAUCAGCUUUCUGCACUCUUUUCUUGUCUUUUUUAAUGCACUUUUCGUUUAACAAGUCAACAUCAAUUUCUUUCGUUGUAAAAGGGUCAUUGGAAGGUGGCUUUCUUUUCGGAGAAAGUGUUUAUAGCCUUUGGCCUCUGCAAUCGGAGAGAUUGAGGUCUGCAGCGUAGAUCCUUCGGGGUUAGAUACAUUUGUGCUAAGUUAUAGCCUUUCAUAGACAACUUGUUGACUAUGAUCAGUCAUGUAGCUUACUCGCUUAUGCUAUUUUACCUACGCUUAGGAUGUUGACGAUCAGCUGAGCGCG